CCUGAGCGCGCCCCUGAGCCAGUGCCGGAGCCUGCAGUGCCUGAGAGGAAAAGGAAGUCCGCUCACUCGCAUUCGCAUUCGACUAAUAAAAGAGCUAAGCGUGAAGAAAAAACAAAGAAAAGUCAGAAGCAUAAGGUGAAGAAUAAUGCCAGUGUUGCACAACCACUUGCUGGGCCGUCGUCCACCAAGGUCACUGCGAAAGACAUUAUGGGCACCGAUUCGGAUGUGGAUGAAGAUAAAAAAUCCGACAAAUACCGCUCCAAAGCCUUGAAUGAAAAUAUAAAUACAAAUAAAGUAAAGUUUUGUACUGAUUGUAAUAUUAAAAUAUUAGAAAGUUCUUUCAGAUUUCAUUUAAGAACUAAUUUACAUAAAAAGAAUUGCUUAUUGAAAACAAGUUUUAAUAACAUUAAUAUUAUAGCCACAGCUUUUAGAGAGAGAAUAGUUACUUAUAGAGUUAACUCUGAUGGUAAUGAUUCUUCAACUCCUGAGGAAUUUUUAGACAAAAUCACAGACGAUGUGAAAAAACUAAUAGUCAUGAAUUUAGUUAAACAUGGUUCCAUAAAACUUAAUUUUGAAUUGUUUGCUUAUUUCGAAUUACCUGGCUCAAAUGAAA